rnacentral:rRNA from 1 species
UACAGAGGGUGCGAGCGUUGUCCGGAAUCACUGGGCGUAAAGGGCGCGUAGGCGGCUCGGUAAGCGUGCGGUGAAAGCCCGGGGCUCAACCCCGGGUCGGCCGUGCGAACUGCGGAGCUGGAGCACUGUAGAGGCAGGUGGAAUUCCGGGUGUAGCGGUGGAAUGCGUAGAGAUCCGGAAGAACACCGGUGGCGAAGGCGGCCUGCUGGGCAGUUGCUGACGCUGAGGCGCGACAGCUAGGGGAGCAAACGGG